CGGAACUUUCAAUUUAUUAAAAGUCAGCAAUUAGCGGUGCGACGUUUCGUGAUUUCGCGUAGUUCGCAAUCCAGAUCGCAUUGCUCACUUCCACGGGAUCUAUUCCGUUUAGGUCUCCGUAUCUGGAUCACAGUUGGAUCUAGCAUUAGAGUCAUUUGAAAGGCUUGUUCAGUGCUGCCUUAGCUGCUACGGUAUUGCGUAAUAAUUAGGAUGUUAUAUGAGUGGAGUGAUUCAACGGAAGGACCAAAGGAGGAGACUGUUUCCGCUGACAGACCGUAGGACCCGAGUAACUCAGUUAUUAGAGCAGGGAAGAGCCAAACCAGAACUAUUGGUUGCAUUUCUGUCACAAAGAAAUUCAACCGAUUUUUUGUUCUGUUUUUUGUUUAGAGUCGUCAGCGCCUUGUGAAUAUUUUGCUGACAACUUGACACCAAUGAUUUACGUCUAGGCCAGAUACUUAAGACAUCUGACAUGGAGCCGUUCAAGGAAGGGAAAGUCCUUCGAACAGCCUGCUUCACGCAGCAAACCUCCGCGAAAUAAAGUUGACAUUUUCGUACAAUGAGUCGUGUUCGGAUAACAUAUAAUUCACUGUACAAAAAUAUUUCACAACCUAACUCGCGACUUCAGUAAACCAAAAAAAGGUGACACAGAAUGUCAAAGUUUACCGUGUUUGUUUGGCCCAGGUUGACAUCAGUCGCGUGCAAUAGGUUUCAGUGGGUACUGGGGUGAUGAUGACCUACGAUUCCUCCAUCUACCAGGCAAAUGUUCAGAUGUACGACCGAUCAACAGAUCCUGCAUAUCUCUGCCGCACCAGGCGGAUGAUCGCUCAUGGAAAGAUUUGGUGAGCCAGAGAGUUGAAGGAUAACGUUGAAACUGGUAUAUAUAGCGGAGAGGAUGCACCACACACCGUGCCCCGUGCGACUGCUGUCAAAGCGCCGCCUGUAGCGAAGCAGUCCCCCGUGGAGGUAUACUGUCUGCCGUCACCUGGCCAGACAGUGCAGUGGGCCGCCGCAUCCAUGCUGCUUUCCAGUGCUGCUAGCGAACAGGGAACAGCAGGCACGAUGUGCAGUGAAGCGGAUCGGGUUAUUGACCAUCGCGAACUGGAGGGUAAUGUGGUCUCUGAAGCGGAGACUGAACCGUCUCAGAACAAACCGUCUCUUCGUCGAAAAAAGUCUGGAGGCAAACGUCGCAGGCAGCAUUUCAGCGAGACACGGCCCUCGGCUGAAGAGAUGGUCAGCUGCCAUGUAUGCGGUUCUAAAACCAUGGCGAGGCAUUCCGACGGCACAUCAUAGCGAAAGCCCGCUGCCACAAGGCCAGGGGAUACUUUUGGAAGGGUACCCUGGUCACCGUUAUCCAUGCACGAAACCCAAGCAGCCGACGCAGAUCGAGUAUAAUGGAUGAAGGUGAACGCGUGUUCACGGUGAUCGCGGCCCUUCGGAGCGGUUCAUGGCUCGGGACUUGGCUACGGGUUGGAUGAUUGAGAUCAUAGCUCUCGCUUGUGUGCUUCUCGCGGUGACGACCGCGAACUGGGCAGUAGCGGAAGUUCGGUCACUCGUUCACCUAGCGGGCACUGUGCUCUGGACAUUUUGCGGACUUUAUGACCGGACAACCGAAUAUAGUAACAGUUAAUCGUAUGUUUCUGUUAAUUACUGAUGUACCUUAGUGUGAGAUAUGCCUCGACCUUGUACAAAGGACGCGCGCUUGUCCCUAGCGACGCUGUCCGUAUUGUUGCUGACAAACAGUGUCAGCAAA